AAUAGUUUUUUCAGGUUGGAUCCUGCCUUCCUAAUCUGCAGCUAUUUUAAAAUUUGUAUCUCCCAAUCAUAGACAAAUAUACAUAUCAUCUGUGCUUCAAACCUACUCCUUGAGUAAAUACAUAUGACUCUGCAGACUCCCGCCUCACUCAUCAGCCAUAAUUAUAACUUCAUGGGAAUUAAACAAAAUCGAUACAGUCUCAAUGAGGUUUACAAUUCGUCUUAUUUCGGAACCAAAUAUAGUUAUCCCAAUGAAUGAAUUACAUUAUUAAUGCAACAUUAAUGGAAGAAUAUUUCAUAUUAUUUGACUAAUAGUAAAUUUGUAGGCUGACAAGGCAUUAAUAUAAAUGGAUAACUGUCAUCCAAUCUAUCUUGGAAAACGCCUGCAGACUCUCAUGCAGUGGCUACAUUUACAAGCCUUCUUUCAAAUUGUGUACGAUAAAGAGCAUUUUUAUGUUAAAAAGGUAUGACUUUCAAUUAUUAAAUGAGAUAUUUUUAAACUUUAUGAAUAUCUUCUUCUUGAGGCCAUGAGUAAAAAGCACCUAUUUUCAAUUUUAAUUAUAUACCACUAUUUUUGGUUUUGGUUUCUUUCUUAGAAAUAUGUUUGAAAUACAAAUAUUUAUAUUAUAA
rnacentral:lncRNA from 1 species